rnacentral:rRNA from 1 species
UACGGAGGGUGCGAGCGUUAAUCGGAAUUACUGGGCGUAAAGCGCAUGCAGGUGGUUUGUUAAGUCAGAUGUGAAAGCCCGGGGCUCAACCUCGGAAUUGCAUUUGAAACUGGCAGGCUAGAGUACUGUAGAGGGGGGUAGAAUUUCAGGUGUAGCGGUGAAAUGCGUAGAGAUCUGAAGGAAUACCGGUGGCGAAGGCGGCCCCCUGGACAGAUACUGACACUCAGAUG